CGGGGUGCAGCAGGCGCGAAACCUCUGCAAUAGGCGAAAGCCUGACAGGGUUACUCUGAGUGAUUCCCGCUAAGGGGAUCUUUUGGCACCUCUAAAAAUGGUGCAGAAUAAGGGGUGGGCAAGCCUGGUGUCAGCCGCCGCGGUAAUACCAGCACCCCGAGUGGUCGGGACGAUUAUUGGGCCUAAAGCAUCCGUAGCCGGCCACGCAAGUCCUCCGUUAAAUCCACCCGCUCAACGGUUGGGCUGCGGAGGAUACUACGUGGCUAGGAGGCGGGAGAGGCAAGCGGUACUCAAUGGGUAGGGGUAAAAUCCUUUGAUCCAUUGAAGACCACCAGUGGCGAAGGCGGCUUGCCAGAACGCGCUCGACGGUGAGGGAUGAAAGCUGGGGGAGCAAACCGGAUUAGAUACCCGGGUAGUCCCAGCUGUAAACGAUGCAGACUCGGUGAUGGGAUGGCCUCGAGCCAUCCCAGUGCCGCAGGGAAGCCGUUAAGUCUGCCGCCUGGGGAGUACGGUCGCAAGACUGAAACUUAAAGGAAUUGGCGGGGGAGCA
rnacentral:rRNA from 1 species